UGAACUAAAAACAAGACAGUUUUUAACAGCAACAUGCUUUUUUAUGUAAUUUCUGCGAUUGCCAUGCCUAAAACUCCAUUUGAGUUUUAAGUUCCCAUUCCUCACUCUACAAACUCAAGUAAACUGACAAAAGAAGCUCCCGCAAUAAUAUUGUACUUAUUAUCAAUGAAAAGGCCUAAUUAAACAACCUUUCACCCUAAAAAACUCAACAUCUCAAGAAUGGUUCUAUCAGGAGACCGACCCACAAUGCACAUCAAACAUACUUCUUAAAAAAGACUAGAUGAACCAACAGAGGCAAGAGAUUCAAUACAGCUUAUACUGGGAACAUUAACAACUGAAUACGAAAACAAGUUCGGAUGCAACCACGUGUUCACGCAUUCGGCAAAACAAGAUAACAAGCACAUAUUCGCCGACCUUGAUGUUAUGGACGGCGACCACAUAAAUUUCUGCCAUCAAAUACAGAAUCCCACUGCAAAGCACUCCGAUUGAUUUGAAAACAGCUUAGUAAGCUCGCGCUUGCGUUUUCAGCAACUGGGUCGACGCUAAGCUACCCGAAGGAGCGAGCGGGGACAAAGUCACUGACCACGUCGAAGAAACCAGCCUCCCUACAAGCCUGAUCCAACUGCCUGACAACUUCAGCCACGCCCGGGUCUUCACCCAUGUCCGGAUCAUCGCACUUGGCCAUGAGGGGACCCAUAUCUGCAGAACAAGAUUGAAACGCACUGGAUUGAACGUCGGGUCGAUUAGGCCAGGUGCCCACAGAGGGCAUUGUUCCCUUGUUGUGGUGGGCGAGGGUCGGCCGACGGCCCUUGCCAACGCCUCAACCAAAGAGAGAGAGUAAGAACAAAAUAGAAAAUAAAAAAAAUGAAAAACAAAAAAAAAUUAUAAAAUAUUAUUAAAAAUGUUUACAUUAGCACCGAUUAUGUGAUAUGGAACAGUUUUAUGCAUUUAUGUUAGCAAUUUUCAAUCAAAAUUGGUGGAUGAAUUGAAUUGGGAUGAAAAUAAAAGAUGUAUAAAUAAAUUGAUCCAAUUAAAAGAUUUGAUACUAAAUUGAUACAAAGGUAAUAAUUUUAUGACUUUUUUUUUCUAUGGAUUACCACUACAAUGAGUAGGAGUUUAAUCUAACUAAUGACUCAACUUGUCAUCUAUGUUAUUCUUCCUCUCCAAAGAUUUCACGGGACAUUCCCUUAAGAGUGAUUGGUUUCCGGUCCGGUUUAGUUCUAUUCAAGAAUUGGUCACUUAUUUAAAAUGAAGAUGAAAUUAAGAAAGGAAGACGGUGAGAAUUCUUAGCUUUUCUCCGGUAAAAUAAAAAAGGUUCGACCAAUCAAUUAGAGAAAUCUUCCAUGCUUUUCUCUGGCAAAUUUCAGUCCGGUUCUCCUUUGAAAACGAGAACCAGACUACCCAAAUACCAGUUAUACUUUUAUAAAUCAGUAAUUAGACCUAACGGCCGGUUCGAUUUAGUUCGAGCGGUUCCCUAUCUAGUCAGUCCAUCUUGCUCACCCCUAAUUUUCUUGACAAAUUUCUCGCAAAUUCUGAUCACCAAUAGUGUAGGCAAAGCAAUACAAAUUUUGUAAAACAAGAAACGUGAGGAUUAAAACUCACUCAAUAUUACCUUUUGAGUCGGAUUAUAAGAACAAGAUCUGUGGCGAGCCUCCCCAACUGCAUUACGUGUAGUAUGUCGGACCUGAUGGGAAAGGCGAAUUCGCGGUCAAAACUCUCGUUCGGCAUUCUCCUAUCUUCUUCAGUCUGGAUAGUGUUUCCCCCUUCUCUCUCGAGAGAGAAACAGGUGGGAGCAUAGGACGUACUGAUAGCUUUCUUGCAGGGUUUUCAUAUGCGGAGAGACCCAGCAAAUGCAAUACUCCGAAGACUUUUCAACGACCCGACUCAACUACGUUCACUGACUGAGGCUUGUCUCUUUUCAUGCAGGAGCAGACCCACCAUGUCCUUGCUUCUCUUUUUGAGGCCUAGCUCUCCAUUCACGGGAUUCUACCAGGAGAAUGUCACCGCGACCUGGAAUGGCAAAGGAGUCAAGAUCUGCAAUUACACGGGCUUCACCUGUGCAACUGUACCCGGCUACGAGAUGUUGGGUCUCACCAGCGCGGACUUCCAUGGCUUCGGCUUCUGCAAUGACUAGGGACAGCUCACUAUCGAUAACUUCAUUGAGAAACUACCCGAUCUCGUAUUCUUUCAUGCAAACUCCAACGACAUUACCGGCCGCAUCCCCUCCAGUAUUUCCAUGCUCAAGUAUUUCUACGAGCUCGACUUGAGCAACAACAAGCUACAAGGAACAUUCCCAAUGACCGUUCUAGGCGUCACCGGGCUCACUUUCUUGGAUCUCAGGUUCAACAACCUAAUUGGACCGUUACCACCUCAAGUAUUCACUGUGGACCUCGAAGUUCUCUUUCUCAACAAGUAGUUCAAUGGGACAAUCCCGGAAAAUCUCGGUAAAACACCCGUAAGUUAUCUCACCCUAGCCAACAACAAGUUCACAGGCCCAAUCCCUCGGAGCAUAGGGCAAACUUCAAAGUCGUUGCUAGAGGUGCUGUUCCUGAAUAACCGAUUAUCGUGUUGCCUUCCAUAUGAGAUAGGACUCCUGAAGAAAACAGCUACUUUCGACGCCAGUAUCAAUCAGUUGACUGGUCCAAUACCACAUUCCUUCGGCUGUCUGCAGCAGAUGAAUCAGCUAAACUUGUCGUAUAACCAUUUAUACGGGCCAGUACCUGAGAUGGUGUGCGUGCUGCCGAAGCUGAGUGCACUAACACUGAACAACAAUUACUUCACACUGGUUGGGCCAGAAUGCCGGAAGUUGAUCUUGAAGAAAAAACUCGAUGUAAGGAUGAACUGCAUUUUAGGUCUUCCAUCACAGAGAUCUCCAAGAAGGUAAAGUGCCCAAACGAGAGAUCAAUGAGAUAUGUACCCUGCAGGAUUAGUCAGUUAAAUGCCGAAGAUGCCUCCAAAGGGUCAUUGACACCUGAGAUCUCAAUAGGCACCGAUAGCAAGUAAAAUUAUUAGAUAGGGCUAAAGCAAUUGUAAUGUGGCUUCUACCAGAAAAAUAAUGGGGCACAGCAGCUUUCUGAACAUGGUUUUUUUAUUUUUUUUAAUAUAUAUUUGCAUCAUGCAUCGUGAUUACAAGCAUGUGAGUUGCAUCAUGCAUCGUGAUUACAAGCAUGUGAGUUUCUAGUGAAUUUGAGUAUCAUCUGAGUAUAGAGUCGAGUAAGCUGUUGAACUUGUCAACUUGCAUAGAGUCGAGUAAGCUUUCGUAGAUCUAUCAACUUGACUAUCAAGAGAACUGCAAAUAAAAGAGUGAAUAGAAAUGGGGAGGACCUCUGUUUAGUAGUACAAUGGCCACAUAUUUAAGUAAAGCAUGAUACAACCUAAAAAUUCAAGAUCCUGCAAGUGAAAAUUCAAUAGCCUAAAGAAUAAAAAAGGAUAUUUGUAGCACCCACAGUCUACCCUGUUAUUAAGGACUUCGGAAGACAUACAUGCAACUAUUGUUCCAGGGUUUUACAAAUUCAGUAUCCUCAGCACAGAGUACAACAUCAAGCAAUCAAAUGCCAAAUACAUCAUUUAUGUCAAGCUUAAACUGACAAUGAAAUAGAUGGGAUUUUGUAUUUUACACCACAAAGUUCGUUAGGACUUUGCUAACUAAAUGCUCUCCAUAGCAUGCUCUUCCAAGCUUCUUGGUUCCACCGGUUCUCCUCACACAGACAUCUAAAGGCUCCACCAGGACAUCGAAAUUGGGCUGUUUGUAAAACAUUACUUAGUGUUCAGAAAAGAACCGGAUUCAACAAAAAGAAAUGCUUAAAGGAGAUUCCAGUCUAGAAAUUUACCUCAUAAAAGUAUGCUACACAGACUCGAUAUCUUGGGCAACUAUUAAUUACGCGAUGCACUGUUGCGUCAUAGAAGCCAUUGGACCAAAUCUGCAGUAGUCCAGACCAAAAAUUGAUUUGCGAUACCAGUACAAAGUCAGAAAUGAACAUCAAGGAGUCUUCUUCCCCAAGUUUAUACCUUAAGCAUGUCGCCUAUGUUGCAAACAAAUGUUCCGGGAACAGGAACAGCAGAGAUCCACUCACCAGAGAGGUUCUUGACCUUCAAAAACUCACCAAGAUCAAAAUGAACCUAAUAGAGGAGCUAUAAAGUUUUGAUAACCGAAAUGCAUAGCAGGUCCACUGAAUAAGGUGUAAUACUGACUGUAAUUUAUUACAUAAUGUGAUCUGACACCAUUCAAGAUUUAAACCUUUUCACUCAUUCUGCAAGGAUAUGAUACCGUUCAAGAUUUCAACCUUUUCACUCAUUCUGCAUGAUCUAACACCAAUAAAAUGAGACAUGAUCAACAACAACAAACUAAGGAGAGGAUCAAUCAAAAUGAGAAACAUGAGAAAUUUACAGAGCACUGGGAACUGAGGCUCAAAACAAGGAUCAGGAGCUGUAUUUAUGACCAUGGUUGCACAGCUGCUCUGAACAUUAACGGAACUACUUAACAAUCAGUAUAGAUAGACCCAAACAGAUUCUGAUGAUCAAAUCUAAAUCCAUUUUCAUCAACAUCAAUCAUCUGUGAAGGUUCUCCUUGUUUUGGUCUAAAGAGGAUAUUCCAAAUUCCACUUAGCCAUUAUUAAAUUGACUGUAAUCUUUGUCUUGGUAGGUGGUUAACAAGACUGCUGGAUUUAGUAAUAAUAAAUGAGCCACUCUUUCCAAAUGGCAACUAACAUGUCAUUUAGUUUACCCAUAAGCCAAACCAAACAACUAACUGUUGCAUUUACUGCCAAAUUUGAUAAAUUAAAAAUGUUGUGAACAACAUUAUGGUGACUUGAGAUGUUACCUAUACGUUCUAAAGAGUGAAGUGUUCCAUAGUGAAAAGCUAAUAUCAAUUUCUAAUAGUCAAAGGGAGAAGAAAAACAAAAGUUAAAAGCAAAGCGACACCAAACAUACACUGCCAUUUGGAAUGACCAACAGCCUGAACCAGAAAACGGACUCAUACAUGUCAUCUCGACAUUCCAAGAACAGACUUCUCUAAGGAAUUAGCAGAACAACUUGAGUUAAUUCAAUAUUUAACUCAGUCUCACUUGUUCUGUAAUUACUCUUUAAUGAUUAAGAACUUAUUUAAAAUUUUAAACAUAAAACAUUAAAAAAAAUUACGAUUGUACCUGAAGAGCAGUGAUGUCAUCAUCCUGAUUCAACAGAGUCAACAAACCUAUAAUGUAGCAUCAUGACCAAUAUAUAAACUCAUUGUCCCUUCAAGUAUAAUAUCCUCUAAAAGACUCAGAAAGUUACCAUAAUCGGUGUGCGCUCCGCUGAAUGUUUCAUGCAAAAGAAGAAAAGAAAGAAAAAACCGCGUGAGAGACUACAAUAAUGAAGAAUUGUAGAGUACAAUCAUUGACAAUGAAUUAACUCGCAAUGAGAGGACAAAUGUAUCACCAUCCAAUGUCAUUUUCAGGAUUUCCAAGGACAUUUGCUUUUGAUGCACCUGGAUAACCGAGUAUACGCAAUACCCAAAAUGGAUCUCCAGCUCUUUGACCUUCAAAUUCACUUGGGGAUCCGCCUAACGCUAAUGCAAUGCCUCUCAUGAUCUUUCUUGAAAGUUCUAGGAACAAUCAGAAUCACGUGUAGAAAGAUGAUGGAUAAGAAAAGUGUUGACAGAGAACCACCAAAAGUAUUGACAGAGAACCACUAAUGAAGAGUCUAUACCAGUGCAAAGGCUAAUGUAUUCCUCCAUAAUUGGCUUUAAAUCUGGAGGAUUAACUGGCCUGCAUUGGGGACAAAAGCAAAAUGCGUUAACACACUCCAAAUAAAUCAGCAACAUGUGACUCAAUCCAAAACAAGCUAUCAUGUACCUGAAUGUUAGCAAUGUUAAGAGAUGUGCAAUGAAUUAAAUGAAAAGGCUGAGCUUAUGGAAGAAAUAAUACUUACAAUUUUCAUCUUAGGACUCCAUCUCAAGUUUAGUUUGCAAAAACGAUGAAUUCCAGACAUAUUUACUACUCAUGUGUGUUUCAUGGAACAAUCAUUAUAUUAACUAGUGUUGGAAUUAAAGAAGAAGGAAGGGCAAAGUGAGAGAUCAACAUGGGACCUAAGUUUAUACAUAAUGCCACUGCCCAACUGCCACUGUCCAUUUGCUCGGUUCAGUUUGAUGACAGUAACAUAAUGAUGGACAUAAGGAAGACAAGCAUGACGAGUACUAAAGUUUCUUAUGAUCAAUACUUGCUGCUGAUGAAGAACAGUUAAAAGGAACGGUGCUCUUGUCAGGGUACAACCCUGAUCGUGCCCCCUGAUCGCUCCCCUACAUGGCCACUAGACCAAAUGUCUAGUGACACGGUUAAAGGGGCUACAAAAUAAGAGGCGUAGACAAUUAUCUUAGGUUAGAGUUCUUGAAUCAACAUACCACUGAUCACAUCCUUCCAGGACCUUGCCAAGAUCUCCGUACAUCCCUUGCCUCACUUCUCUGUAACACUGCUCCAAAUAAUAUCACAUUUUAAGUCAUUGCAGUGGGAGAGAGAUAACAGCACGGGAGACAGAAGCGGAAUACUGUGAUAACAUCUCAGUAUAAUCGUACUAAUAACGUGCAGGCUCCAUAUUCAGUGAUAUGGACCCCCACCUAAAGGACUAUAUAACUGCGCAAUUCAUAGUGGAAGAACAUUGACAUAAUUUGUUCGAGUUUCAUGCAGAGAAAUUCUGUUCGCUUGAAUUAAAGAUUGCCUAAGACUUUCACAGAUUGAACAGUGCUAAUCAAAAUUUCACUUCACUUCAAUGGAGCUUAACAAAUUAUCCAAGAAAAAAGGCAUUCGGAAAACACGGAUGCUUUUAAUGAUUAGAGAACCCUACCAUGCAGGGACAAGUCAUAUGAUACCAGGGAACUGUUACUGUUGGAUUAACAUGAUAUAAUAAUCUUGUACUUAAGACAAAUAUAUCUGAACGACAACCAAAACAUUGGUGAAGCAACCUACGUCAAUGGCCUCGUGCAUGUCAGGUACACCUUUUGUGAUGUUUUCACGAAGUCUCUGGUAUCCCCUGCAAAAAUUGUUAAAGUCACUUCUAAGCUAAUUAGCAAUUCACCUGGAAACCAGUAUAAACUUGUAAUAUUACAAGAUUAUAAUUUUCCUAGGAAUGAAAAAGUGGAAAAAUCCUAGAAAUACGGGUAUAGGGAGUUCUAAUGACCAGAAUCAGAUCAUGAUGCUGGAGAGAGGUUUUGCAUGACCAUUAUUUUUCUGUAUACUGGCCAAUCAUUGGGAAUGACAAUCAUUAAAUUCCUCGAAGCACCCUUUUCGGAAGUUUAUUUUGUUUCACUGACUAAGUAAGCUGUGUGUUCCUCACCACUCACAUGGGGGAGGCAAACAUCUGGGGAGCUUAUUUUCUAAAGCUUAACUAUAGGAUAUGAUAUUCUUUCUGAUUUAUUUGAAUCAGUUUUUUCUUCGUAAUUUGAUCCUUCUGUUCAUGUUCUCCAACAAGCCAAAAAUCAUUAACAGUUCACGGACAUCUUGCUGCAUAGAAAAUUUAAGAUAAGAGAACACAGCUUGUGAUUCUAUUUGAUCCUUCCAUCCCACGUUCUACAAUAAAAUAAAACUUAUCUGUAAUUCAUAUGCAUUUGACUGCAUAUCAAAUUUAAGAGAAGAGAACACAGCUAGUGAUGGAUCUAAAAUUGACAAUCGUCAAAAGGACAUUUCAAGAAUGCUAGAGGAGUCUAACCUGUAUCCUGCCGCUGGAGUCAUCUUGAUCUUCAACUUCUCUUCAUAAGGAAGUUCGAAAAAUUCGUGCGUCAAGGUUCUAACCUUUUUAAUAAGGGAAUCGGGAAUACCAUGGCCCUUCUGGUCAAUGACAAAGUUUACACACUUCCACAUCACUGAAGAAUGAAUAAGGAAGCACACAAUAUUCGUGCGUUUUCCCCGGACUGAACUAAAAACAAGACAGUUUUUAACAGCAACAUGCUUUUUUUUAUGUAAUUUCUGCGAUUCCCAUGCCUAAAACUCCAUUUGAGUUUUAAGUUCCCAAUCCUCACUCUAGAAACUCAAGUAAAGUGACAAAAGAAGCUCCCGCAAUAAUAUUGUACUUAUUAUCAAUGAAAAGGCCUAAUUAAACAACCUUUCGCCCUAAAAAA
rnacentral:lncRNA from 1 species